UGGGGAAUAUUGCACAAUGGGCGCAAGCCUGAUGCAGCCAUGCCGCGUGUAUGAAGAAGGCCUUCGGGUUGUAAAGUACUUUCAGCGGGGAGGAAGGUGUUGAGGUUAAUAACCUCAGCAAUUGACGUUACCCGCAGAAGAAGCACCGGCUAACUCCGUGCCAGCAGCCGCGGUAAUACGGAGGGUGCAAGCGUUAAUCGGAAUUACUGGGCGUAAAGCGCACGCAGGCGGUCUGUCAAGUCGGAUGUGAAAUCCCCGGGCUCAACCUGGGAACUGCAUUCGAAACUGGCAGGCUAGAGUCUUGUAGAGGGGGGUAGAAGUGCAGGUGUAGCGGUGAAAUGCGUAGAGAUCUGGAGGAAUACCGGUGGCGAAGGCGGCCCCCUGGACAAAGACUGACGCUCAGGUGCGAAAGCGUGGGGAGCAAACA
rnacentral:rRNA from 1 species